rnacentral:RNase_P_RNA from 1 species
CGAGGCGGUCGGAUGGUCGCGCGCCGGGAUCGGGGCAACCCGGUGGCCGGUGUGAGGAAAGUCCGAGCUCCCCAGCGCAGGGUGGCGGGUAACGCCCGCCCGCCGCAAGGCGAGGACCAGUGCCACAGUGACGAUGCCGAUUGCCGGCGCAAGCCGGCGUUCGGAGUGAAACGGGCAAACUCCACCCGGAGCAAGGCCAAAUAGGAGGGCGAAACUCGCGGACGGGCGACCGUCGGCGGGGGAGAGGUGCGCUGCCCAGCCCUCGGGUCGGCCGCAUGAGCCGUCGGGUGACCGGCGGCCCCAGAUGGAUGGCCAUCACCGUUCUGCCGCGAGGCCGAGCGGGACAGAACUCGGCUUACAGAUCGCCUCGCUGG